rnacentral:rRNA from 1 species
CUCAGAACGAACGCUGGCGGCAGGCCUAACACAUGCAAGUCGAGCGCAGUCCUUCGGGACCGAGCGGCGGACGGGUUAGUAACGCGUGGGAACAUACCCUUUUCUACGGAAUAGCCUCGGGAAACUGAGAGUAAUACCGUAUAAGCCCUUCGGGGGAAAGAUUUAUCGGGAAAGGAUUGGCCCGCGUUAGAUUAGAUAGUUGGUGGGGUAAUGGCCUACCAAGUCUACGAUCUAUAGCUGGUUUUAGAGGAUGAUCAGCAACACUGGGACUGAGACACGGCCCAGACUCCUACGGGAGGCAGCAGUGGGGAAUCUUAGACAAUGGGCGCAAGCCUGAUCUAGCCAUGCCGCGUGUGUGAUGAAGGUCUUAGGAUCGUAAAGCACUUUCGCCAGGGAUGAUAAUGACAGUACCUGGUAAAGAAACCCCGGCUAACUCCGUGCCAGCAGCCGCGGUAAUACGGAGGGGGUUAGCGUUGUUCGGAAUUACUGGGCGUAAAGCGUACGUAGGCGGAUCAGAAAGUUAGGGGUGAAAUCCCGAGGCUCAACCUCGGAACUGCCUCUAAAACUCCUGGUCUUGAGUUCGAGAGAGGUGAGUGGAAUUCCAAGUGUAGAGGUGAAAUUCGUAGAUAUUUGGAGGAACACCAGUGGCGAAGGCGGCUCACUGGCUCGAUACUGACGCUGAGGUACGAAAGUGUGGGGAGCAAACAGGAUUAGAUACCCUGGUAGUCCACACCGUAAACGAUGAAUGCCAGUCGUCGGGCAGUAUACUGUUCGGUGACACACCUAACGGAUUAA